UACAGAGGGUGCGAGCGUUAAUCGGAAUUACUGGGCGUAAAGCGUGCGUAGACGGCUAUCUAAGUCGGGCGUGAAAUCCCCGGGCUUAACCUGGGAACUGCAGUCGAGACUGUCUAGCUAGAGUAUGGGAGAGGGAAGUGGAAUUUCAGGUGUAGCGGUGAAAUGCGUAGAUAUCUGAAGGAACAUCAGUGGCGAAAGCGACUUCCUGGACCAAUACUGACGCUCAUGUGCGAAAGCGUGGGGAGCAAACAGG
rnacentral:rRNA from 1 species